GACGAACCGUGCGAACGUUGUUCGGAAUCACUGGGCUUAAAGGGCGCGUAGGCGGGUCAGCAAGUCCGGGGUGAAAUCUUUCGGCUUAACCGGAAAAGUGCCUUGGAUACUGCUGGUCUUGAGGGAGGUAGGGGCGCGCGGAACUUCCGGUGGAGCGGUGAAAUGCGUAGAUAUCUGGAGGAAUACCGGUGGCGAAGGCGGCAUCCUGGACCGACAUUGACGCUGAUGAGCGAAAGCUAGGGGAGCAAACGGGG
rnacentral:rRNA from 1 species